CAAGGAAUUUUCCCCAAUGGGCGCAAGCCUGAGGGAGCAACGCCGCGUGCGGGACGACGGCCUUCGGGUUGUAAACCGCUUUUGGUGGGGACGAUGGUGACGGUACCCGCCGAAUCAGCCCCGGCUAACUCUGUGCCAGCAGCCGCGGUAAGACAGAGGGGGCAAGCGUUGUCCGGACUGACUGGGCGUAAAGCGCGCGCAGGCGGCGUCGGGCGUCGGUGCUGAAAGUCCACCGCUUAACGGUGGGAAGCGUGCCGAUACGCCGGCGCUGGAGGGUGGGCGAGGGUGGUGGAAUUGCCGGUGUAGUGGUGAAAUGCGUAGAGAUCGGCAGGAACACCCGUGGCGCAAGCGGCCACCUAGCCCAAUCCUGACGCUGAGGCGCGACAGCGUGGGGAGCGAACGG
rnacentral:rRNA from 1 species